rnacentral:tRNA from 1 species
UCCCCGGUAGCUCAGUCGGUAGAGCAAGUGACUGUUAAUCACUGGGUCGGAGGUUCGAGUCCUUCCCGGGGAGCCA